rnacentral:guide_RNA from 1 species
AUAUUUAUUUUAAUUUCUAAAAUUAUUAAUGUGAUCGUGUAUAGUGUGAUGAA